GUAAAGCGCGGGUAGGCGGUUUGGUAAGUCGGAUGUGAAAGCCCCGGGCUUAACCGGGGAAUUGCAUUCGAUACUGCCUGACUCGAGUAUGGUAGAGGGAAGUGGAAUUUCCGGUGUAGCGGUGAAAUGCGUAGAUAUCGGAAGGAACACCAGUGGCGAAGGCGACUUCCUGGGCCAAUACUGACGCGGAGGCGCGAAAGCGUGGGGAGCAAACAGG
rnacentral:rRNA from 1 species